UUCACAUGAUGAGAAUUUUUUAUCCAGUUCUGCUACUGAACAAUAAUGAUGACCUUUAACAUACCAAACCUUAAUCUCUGAUAU
rnacentral:snoRNA from 1 species